UCGCACUUUUAAACCAGGGUGAUCAGUAUGAGGCUCGAUCGAUCAACCAUUGCUCGUGUGCGAUAGUUUGUAGACCCGAUCAAUGUGAUGUGAGUCUCUAGCUAGCCUACAAUUGUUUGCAUGGUGCGAAAAGUCUGCAUGUGGAUGAAUUGUUGUGAUCGUGAGCCGUAGUAUGCUACCCCAGUACUUUAUAUGUGCGAGUGUGUAGUUGCAGGGAGCUCAUGCACGAUACGUAGAGUCUAGACCAGUCAGUUGUUAUAUGGAGCCCAUCGCGCAUAAUACGUAGAGUUGACCAAGCCAGAUGUUGCUUGCUCUUAGUAGGAGUUGUUGGGUAACCCCAAGUGUAAGGAUGAUGUAUCUAGCAAUAAAUAUUUUCUUUGAUUGAAAACCAAGAUUUCAAACAAGUAGAAAUUACCUACUUGAUUGAGAACCAAGAUCUCAAACAAGUAGAAAUUACCCAUGCAACAACUAAUGAUUAGAUACAAUGAUUCAAGAAAGUUGUCAAUCCUCUUGUCCUCUUGAUCACAAUAUUAUAUUUUAUAGUGUGAUUGGAAUUGAUAAAUGGAUAACAUAAAUAAAACGGUACACCAAUAAAGCAAAGUAAUGAUGGUUGUUUUUGGUAAAGGAAAAUAACUAUGGGGUCAUAGAUUCAUCAGAGGCAUCUCUCCAAGCAAGAUAAAUGUGGUGUGGUGAAGAAACUACAUUUGAGUAGCAAAUUAAUGACCAUGUUUAUUUUUGUGAUUGCGAUCAUCCAUGAGACACUGUUUUAUAGUAUUACGUCUGUGAAACAUAAGAAAAAAAAUCCAAAUUUAAAAACAAUAAAAAUUAUGAAAUGAUCA
rnacentral:lncRNA from 1 species